rnacentral:rRNA from 1 species
CAGCAGCCACGGUAAUACGUAGGUGGCAAGCGUUGUCCGGAAUUAUUGGGCGUAAAGGGCUCGCAGGCGGUUUCUUAAGUCUGAUGUGAAAGCCCCCGGCUCAACCGGGGAGGGUCAUUGGAAACUGGGAAACUUGAGUGCAGAAGAGGAGAGUGGAAUUCCGCGUGUAGCGAUGAAAUGCGUAGAGAUGUGGAGGAACACCAGCGGCGAAGGCGACUCUCUAGUCUGUAACUGACGCUGAGGAGCGAAAGCGUGGGGAGCGAACAGGAUUAGAUACCCGCGUAGUCCCUGUCUCUUAUAC